AGUGCGUGUGUGCAUAUAAGUGUGUUUGUGUUUAUGUGUGUUCUGGUACUAGUCAAACUCUUCUGUGUUAAAUCUCAAAUCUAAUUUUCUUUUCUACUUCUCAGCUCGCGUCAGCGUAACCGAUCGCGACAGCGUAACCGAUCGCGACAGCGUAACCGAUCGCGACAGCGUAACCGAUCGCGACAGCGUAACCGAUCGCGACAGCGUAACCGAUCGCGACAGCGUAACCGAUCGCGACAGCGUAACCGAUCGCGGCAGCGGAACCGGUAAG